GGAUCCAGACUUUGAUUCUGGCUCAGGAUGAACGCUAGCGACAGGCCUAACACAUGCAAGUCGAGGGGCAGCGGGGAGGUAGCAAUACCUUUGCCGGCGACCGGCGCACGGGUGAGUAACACGUAUGCAAUCCACCUGUAACAGGGGGAUAACCCGGAGAAAUCCGGACUAAUACCCCAUAAUAUGGGCGCUCCGCAUGGAGGGCUCAUUAAGGAAAGCAAUUUUGGUUACAGACGAGCAUGCGCUCCAUUAGCCAGUUGGCGGGGUAACGGCCCACCAAAGCGACGAUGGAUAGGGGUUCUGAGAGGAAGGUCCCCCACAUUGGAACUGAGACACGGUCCAAACUCCUACGGGAGGCAGCAGUGAGGAAUAUUGGUCAAUGGUCGGCAGACUGAACCAGCCAAGUCGCGUGAGGGAAGGCGGCCCUACGGGUUGUAAACCUCUUUUGUCGGAGAGUAAAGUACGCUACGAGUAGUGUAUUGCAAGUAUCCGAAGAAAAAGCAUCGGCUAACUCCGUGCCAGCAGCCGCGGUAAUACGGAGGAUGCGAGCGUUAUCCGGAUUUAUUGGGUUUAAAGGGUGCGUAGGCGGCACGCCAAGUCAGCGGUGAAAUUUUCGGGCUCAACCCGGACUGUGCCGUUGAAACUGGCGAGCUAGAGUGCACAAGAGGCAGGCGGAAUGCGUGGUGUAGCGGUGAAAUGCAUAGAUAUCACGCAGAACCCCGAUUGCGAAGGCAGCCUGCUAGGGUGCGACAGACGCUGAGGCACGAAAGCGUGGGUAUCGAACAGGAUUAGAUACCCUGGUAGUCCACGCAGUAAACGAUGAAUACUAACUGUUUGCGAU
rnacentral:rRNA from 1 species